CGUAGGGGGCGAGCGUUGUCCGGAUUUAUUGGGCGUAAAGAGCGUGUAGGCGGUUCGGUAAGUCUGUCGUGAAAUCCUGAGGCUCAACCUCGGGCGUGCGAUGGAUACUGCCGGGCUAGAGGGUGGUAGAGGCGAGUGGAAUUCCCGGUGUAGCGGUGAAAUGCGCAGAUAUCGGGAGGAACACCAGUAGCGAAGGCGGCUCGCUGGGCCACACCUGACGCUGAGACGCGAAAGCUAGGGGAGCGAACAGGAUUAGAUACCCUGGUAGUCCUAGCCGUAAACGAUGGACACUAGGUGUGGGGGGAGUCGAAUCCCUCUGUGCCGCAGCCAACGCGUUAAGUGUCCCGCUUGGGGAGUACGGCCGCAAGGCUA
rnacentral:rRNA from 1 species